rnacentral:lncRNA from 1 species
AUUGAGCACUACACUUAAUUAAUUUACUUGUCUGGCCCUGGAGGUCCUUUGAAUUUGUAAAUCCUGGCAAAAAAUGUCAUAUUCAGGCUCCUGUUAUUCUUCCAAUUUAGUAUUUCAUUCAUUAAACAUUAACUGGGUUUCUAUUGAGUAACAGGUACUGCUCAUUAAGUUUUUGAUGAUAGAGUAGUGUAUCAUUAAGUUUUUGAUGAUUAUCUCACCACCCUAAAAUGUAAUGAUAAGAGCAAUCACUUAUUUACCUCAUAAUUUUGUAGGUUGACAAUUUGUUCUGGGUUUAGUGCAUGAUUAUUUUGGUCUUGACUGAGCUCACUUAUGCAUUUGUGGUCAGUAAAUAGUUCUGCUUUUAGGGAUUGGCUGGCCAUCAACGAGGGCAGUGGUUGGCAAUCUGUGGCUGAUUACCAGAUAACCCCCAAGCUAAGAAUGUUUACAUUUUGAAGAGUUCUAUUAAAAAACAAAAAACAAAGGAGAAUAAAUGACAAAAAUCAUAUAUCAAAACGUAAAGUUUUUACUAUUUGUUCCUUUACGGAAAAAGUUGUCUGAGGCCAGGUAUGGUGACGCACAUCUAUAACCCCAGUGACUGGAGAGGCUGAGGUAAGAGAUGGCAAGUUCAAGGCCAGCCUCAGCAAUUUAGUGAGAUGCCGUCCCAAAAUAAAAAAUGAGAAGGGCUGGGGAUGUAGCUCAGUGGUAAGCCCCUGAGUUCAAUCCCCAGUAUUUGUGGGGUUAGGAGGAGAGGUGGGAAGAAAAAGAAAAUGUCUGCUGAUCUCCUAGGGGCAGUGAGAAUGGCCCGGAAUGUAUGUCUCUCAUUACAGUAGCCUAGAG